GAUGAACGCUGGCGGCGUGCCUAAUACAUGCAAGUCGAGCGAACGGACGAGAAGCUUGCUUCUCGGAUGUUAGCGGCGGACGGGUGAGUAACACGUGUAAAACCUACCUAUAAGACUGGUAUAACUUCGGGAAACCGGAGCUAAUACCGGAUGAGAUUUUGAACCGCAGGGUGCAAAAGUGAAAGACGGUCGUGCUGGCACUUAUAGAUGGAUCCGCGCUGCAUUAGAUAGUUGGUAAGGUAACGGCUUACCAAGGCAACGAUGCAUAGCCGACCUGAGAGGGUGAUCGGCCACACUGGAACUGAGACACGGUCCAGACUCCUACGGGAGGCAGCAGUAGGGAAUCUUCCGCAAUGGGCGAAAGCAUGACGGAGCAACGCCGCGUGAGUGAUGACGGUCUUCGGAUCGUAAAACUCUGUUAUUAGGGAAGAACAUAUGUGUACGUAACUGUGCACAUCUUGACGGUAACUAAUCAGAAAGCCACGGCUAACUACGUG
rnacentral:rRNA from 1 species